rnacentral:rRNA from 1 species
AUUCCAGCUCCAAUAGCGUAUAUUAAAGUUGUUGCAGUUAAAAAGCUCGUAGUUGGAUCUCGGGAGCGAGCGAGCGGUCGGGCGUUCAGCCGUGUACUUCUCACUCAUCCUACUGACCGGUACGUGCCCUGUGCUCUUAACCGAGUGUAGGGACCGUCUGGUGCGUUUACUUUGAAAAAAUUAGAGUGCUCAAAGCAGACGAGUCGUCUGAAUAGCCGUGCAUGGAAUAAUGGAAUAGGACCUCGGUUCUACUUUGUUGGUUUUCGGAAGUCGAGGUAAUGAUUAAGAGGGACAGACGGGGGCAUUCGUACUGGGCCGCCAGAGGUGAAAUUCUUUAACUGGCUCAUGACGAACAACUGCGAAAGCAUUUGCCAAGAAUGUUUUCAUU